rnacentral:rRNA from 1 species
GACGAACGCUGGCGGCGUGCUUAACACAUGCAAGUCGAACGGUGAAGCGCCUUCCUUUUUGGUGGGUGUGGAUGAGUGGCGAACGGGUGAGUAACACGUGAGUAACCUGCCCCCUUCUUCUGGAUAACCGCAUGAAAGUGUGGCUAAUACGGGAUAUUCUGGGUCUGUCGCAUGAUGGGUCUGGGAAAGAUAUUGUUUCGGUGGGGGAUGGGCUCGCGGCCUAUCAGCUUGUUGGUGGGGUGAUGGCCUACCAAGGCGGUGACGGGUAGCCGGCCUGAGAGGGUGGGCGGUCACACUGGGACUGCGGCGCCGACCAGACUCCUACGGGAGGCAGCAGUGGAGAAUAUUGCACAGUGGGCGCAAGCCUGAUGCAGCGACGCCGCGGGAGGGAUGGAGGCCUUCGGGUUGUGAACCUCUUUCGCCAGUGAAGCAGGCCUGCCUCGUUUGUGGGUGGGUUGACGGUAGCUGGAUAAGAAGCGCCGGCUAACUACGUG